rnacentral:lncRNA from 1 species
GGGGAAAGGUGCAGGGCAGCCCCCAGCCCCACGAGGGUCUCUCAGCCCCCCUGGUCCCCAGUCCCCCCUGCAUCCCCAGAAUCCCUUUUCUCCCUCUUCGGGGCAGGAGUUUGGCAGAAGUGAGAGGAUCAAAGGAAGGAUGGGUGAGGCGGCCCUGUGUGGGCAGAGCCGACAGGGUCUCACAGCUCGGCCUGUUUGCUUCAGACGGGAUCUGGGAACUUGUCUGGAAUCACAUCUAAAGCAGGAUCUGACGCCGCUGGUCCCACGCCACGUGAGUUGUGGUUUUGGUCUAUGUUUGACUUUUAGAAUUGCAGAAAAUCACUGUCUCGUGUUCAUAGGAGAGAGCAUUUCACUGGCGAGGGAAUAAAACCAGCCAGAAUAAACCGUCAGCUGGUCCUGGGCAGGAGUAACACUUUUCAUUGCAUCUGUCCCUUUCCUGGCUGCUUCACCACGGACAAAUUUGAUGUACACCAGCACUGCAUGGAAGGGCAAACUCUCAUAACGUCGAUUUACAUUUCCUCCAAAACGCAGCGCUCCUCCAAGCAGAGGAGAGAGGUGGAACAUGCCCCUGCAGGCAGCACAGGCUCUUCCCAUCUUUCAGUUCUUAAAACCAGCCUAGAAACUCAAACUGCUCUGGGGCAAGGCCACAUCUCAGCCCUGCAUCCAGCCCCAUUCCCGGGCACCUCCACAAUGCGUUUAAUUUUCUCAUUGCCCAGAUUUUUCCUCACUUCUCUGUAGGUGCUGGGCUCUCCCGGGGAAUUUGGGGAUUUUGGCACGGGCAGACAUGCUGAAACCCUCAAGCCCCUCUUUUCCAGCCUCCCAGCUCCUCGCCCACACGAGCUCGGCGGUGCUGGCGGAUUGUUCUCCAGGGCGUGUUUUCCAUGGAUACCUCAAGGGAGGCAGCACCAAAUAACAAGUCACUAACAGCCCGACGCCGGCCUGCCGGCACAAAACAAGCAAUUGCCCUUCCCGCAGGUCACUAAUCUCUUGACACGCGGUCUUUGAGACCUGGGCCAGGCGAGGCAGGCUGAAAGGGAAGAAAAGAUAAUGGGGACAAUGGUGGGGCCGCCGACUGGCUAAUAACCCUUCUCCCAGCUUUGUCUGGGACACUCAAAGUGGCGCUGGGACCAAUUCAUCCCCGCAGACAAACCCACGCUCCUGCCGGGACGGUCCCGACUCACCGGGCUAAGGGCAGAGCUGCUGCAGGUAUUCAUAGCCCUCAUUUUGUAGCCAGCACUAAUUCCCCGCCGUGUUUUCCCCUCCACGCUGAAAACAAACCCUUCACUUGAUCCGUUUGUCCUCUCCAGUUGCCAUCUGUCUUCCAUCCUUCAAAUCUCACCUUAAAAACAGCGCCUCUUGAGCAAAUCCUCCCCGCCAGCCCCGCGGGCCGCCUCGCCCGCCGCGGGCCUGACACCACAGGCGCUCGGUGAAGUGGAGGGGAUUUGAGAGCGAGCAGGACACGCCGGGAUUAAGGGCACAGAUUGUGCUCCCCGGGCUGCAGCUCCGCCUGCCCGCGGCUCUGCUCCCUCCCCUUGGCAUCAGCGAGGUGGCCCGUGGGUGGGCAGCGCCAUCCCGCUGCCCGGCAGGUGCUGGUGGGAUGCAGGGAAGCACCUGAGCCGCUCCCCCCGGGCACCUCCUGCUUCCUCUGCAGCUGGAAGGAGGAGAGGUCACACCCUGUGCCCUGCCGAGGGGUUUCACACACAGGGCUGCUGUUUGCACAGAUGUGCAGGUGCUGUCUCACCUCACGGCAUCCCAUUAUCCCAUCCCAUUAUCCCAUCCCAUCCCAUUAUCCCAUCAUCCCAUCCCAUCCCAUCCCGUCCCGCCCCGUCCCGUCCUGUCCUGUCCCAUCCCAUCCUAUCCCAUCCCAUUAUCCCAUCCCAUUAUCCCAUCCCAUUAUCCCAUCCCAUCCCAUCCCAUCCCAUCCCAUUAUCCCAUCCCAUCCCAUCCCAUCCCAUCCCAUCCCAUCCCAUCCCAUCCCAUCCCAUCUCCAGCCUUACACUGAAUUAUCUCACAUUCCCCUCCAGUCCUUGCUGCGCUGGGCAUCACCUGCUCCCAUCACAAUCUUGGUUUUCUUUAGGAAAACCCCUCCUAGGGCAUAGAGGGCAGUUCAGAUUUCUGAUCCAAGCCUUUGGAGCUGGUGAGAUUCCUCCUGGAAAACCAACCCACCCCAUAGCAGAGCUAAUCAUGUGAGCCACAGCAGGGUGGCACAUGCUGGUUUUUGGCUGAGCCUGGCAAGGGCAGCCCCGGUCCUGCCCAGUCCCACGGACACUGUGCACUACCAGCAGCAGGAGUCUCAUAGUCCGGUCAGUCACCCGGGCAGGACAAUGGCAUCACUCCCACAUGACAGCUGGACUUUCUCCUUUCGACAGCAAAAAGAGCAAAAUUCAGUGUGCCUUGGGAAGGGGCUGCAGCGAAAAGAGCAAAAUUCAAUUGUGCCUUGGGAGGGGGCUGCAGCAAAAAGAGCAAAAUUCAAUGUGCCUUGGGAGGGGGCUGCAGUGUGGGCACCCUGGAUGGGAGGAGAGGCAGUGGGAUGUGCCUGGCCUUUCCACUGGGGGUCAUGGAAUAGGUGCAGGGUGGGAGGGGAGCAGGGCCAGCUCUUCACCAGGUGCUCUCUCAGGUUUUCUGCUUGAACGGAGCUGCUGCUCUGAAUGUGGUUCACAGCCUCCAGCCCACAGCAGACCCCUGCCAAAGUCCUCUCCCCAAGCUGCUCAGGAAGGAAUGUGCUCGUCCAUGGUUCCCAUCUCAUCCCAGGGGAGUCUCCUCCUCCCUGGGGGAUGCAGAGAUGCUGUGAUUCCUCCAGAACACAUCAGGGUGUCCCUGCUCCCACUAUCCCACUUUUAAGGGAAAAUAGAAUCGGUUGUCUCCCUGUCCUUCUUCCCAUGGACCCACGAGCUGGCACUUCCCACCUCUCCAGAAAAGGGGCUGGAAGAAGAGGGGCUGGAUGGGAGUGGGAUUAAUGCUCAGCUGCCACAUGGGCAGUGGCAUCACUUUUUAUUAAUGUCCUGUAAUAAUAUUGUAAAUACUCACUGGGAAAUAAUGAUAUCCUAUAAAAGAAGCAGAAGCCUGUGGUUUGAGCCAGGACUGGUUAGCAAUACUUGUUUUUAUUAAAGAGAUGUUUCAUGUCUUGUUUAUAGAUUAGAUUUUAACCUGACAACCUUUUAACAUUGUAUUAAAUUAGAAAUUAACUUUGUAUGGCUGCUCACCGUAAAAUUGACCCACUGAUAGGCUGAGUGCUGGGGAAUAUUUCUGCUACCUUUCAGACAGCAAAGUUCCCAAGAAAAUUCAGAGCCUCCUUCUUGAUCUAGAGCAGGGCUUUGCUAUUAAUUAGUAUUUAUGAUCAGGUGGCGGGAAUGCUUUCCACGGAGGAGGAGCUGCCAGGGAGCAGCAUCAGCAUCCCUGCACUGUGCCCAUCCCCAGGGAAGGAGAUGGAGGUGCCAGGGAACGCUGCGAGCCCCUGACCCUGCUGGCAGUAUUUCAGCGUCAUUUCCUGCAGCAGAAACUCCCAAAAAGGCAGAAAUUCAGUAUGGGAACUCGCUGACAGAUGCACAGCUUCAAAUGACACCUGAGCCCAGGGAGGGUGGGUGGCAAUUGAUGGGACAGUGUCAAUGCCCAGGCACAGAGGGACAGAGGGACAGAGGGACAGAGGGACAGAGGACAGAGGGAUGCUCUGCCCGGCUGUGCAGCACAGCUGAUCUCUCGUCCCUUCCCAAUUCUGUCCCAGCAGCCCGGCCCCAGCACAGGCGCUGCCGCAGACAAAUGCUUGUCCCGGUGCCUUUUCCAUCUGUGAAACAGGCCAAGCAGUGGAUCCAAUUAUUUUUUUUUUCCCUAGCACACAAGCCACUAAUCAUUUAUUGAAUUAAAAAAAAAAAAAAAAAAAAAAA